rnacentral:rRNA from 1 species
AUAAACGCUGGCGGCGUGCUUUAUGCAUGCAAGUCGAACGGUCUCGAUUUAUCGAGAUAGUGGCAAACGGGUGAGUAACGCGUAAGUAACCUGUCCCUAAGUAGAGGAUAACUCUGAGAAAUUAGAGUUAAUACUGUAUGUGAUGCUGGAGGUAAAGCUCCAGCAUUAAAGCCUUCGGGCGCUUGGGGAGGGGCUUGCGUCCGAUUAGCUAGUUGGUAGGGUAACGGCUUACCAAGGCAGUGAUCGGUAGCUGGUUUGAGAGGACAUCCAGCCACACUGGGACUGAGAUACGGCCCAGACUCCUACGGGAGGCAGCAGCAAGGAAUUUUGUGCAAUGGGCGAAAGCCUGACACAGCGACGCCGCGUGGGGGAUGAAGAUCUUCGGAUUGUAAACCCCUUUUCCCAGGGAAGAACAAUGACGGUACCUGAGGAAUAAGUCUUGGCUAACUACGU